AUGGACUGCUAGAGUGACCAAUCGAAGUGCGCCCGGGGGCUUGGUCCCGCCCCCGAAACAAAGGAAAAUCCUUGGCAGCUUUAUCCUCCAAUAAGGAAACCCAAAAGGGAGUGAGCAGGAGAUGGGGAUUCGUGGAGCCGGAAGGAUUGCGCCUGCGCACCAGCCAGACUAGGGCGGCCUACCCUUUUUCAGAAAUUCGUUGUUAGGGGGUGGUAUUUGAUUAGUCUUGUUGUCAAGGGCGGGGUCUCAACCUUGAGUUGUUUCUGGAACCACACCUCCAGGCCCUCCACGCUAGCUUUUGACCGCGGCGGUUGCCAAGCAACUGGGAGCCACACAGCCCUGUCUUUUGCCUCCUUUCUCAGGGUGCUUCUGUCUUCAGGCGGUUUGCUAUCUCUGAACUCCUUCCGUAGCACCUCAUGUGACUUCCUCCACACCUCACUCUCCUCAGCAUCAAAGGAGGCCCCCAUCAGGUGGAGGCCAUCCUGCUUGGGAGGACCUUGGAGAACUUCAUGCUCCAGUGGCCGUUGUUCCAGAACUGCAGCAACACAAGGAGAGGGUUGCCUACAGCCCUGAAUUACGUGGAGCUGCUGGGAUGUAAAAACCUCAGGAAGUCACCCAAGGUCACGGAGGUCCUGGACGCUGCUGGGCAGAGUGGAGCCAGCCAAGCACAGACAUCGAGACUGCUACCCAGACUCUGACCCAACCUUGAACCAUGAUGAAUCCUGAUUCCUUUGCAUGUUCUAAGAAUGGCACUUCAAACAGAAACAAAAUUUACCCUGUGGAUCAUGGGCAAGCUAGACUCUCCCCCUCAGCUGGACCCUAACCAGCCAGUACUCCAGAGUUCUCCAGCGUCAGGAACCUCAUCUUAGUCCUUCCAAACUUACACCUACCAAUGUCCUCAGUAUUCUAGAGAUAGCUUUGUAGUUUCUGGAGCAGUUCCACUCUCUAGCCAGCCUGUUCUAGAAUCCCCAGUGUCAACCUGGACUCAGAGAAUCUCAACUCCUGGAGUUUCUCAACUCAGGGUCUUUUCUUCACACACAGUCCAGUCACCGUUCUGUCUUCUGUCAAUCAUGAUGAUCCCGAAUCCUUGGCAUACUCUCUUCCCCCUGAGGGCAGCAAUCCUCAUCACUUGAGUCUUAGUUUCUUCGCUUGUGUAAAUUGACACUUUCCACCCAGCAGCUGUGUCUCUAAUGAGAAUCCCGCCUCCAUGCCUCGCCUCUUGCACAGUCCAGAGAUCUGGAUCCCUCAGUUCUGGUAAGACUCAGGACUCCAGCUCAUGGGGGCGCCUUGAGAGUCAGAAUGCAGCAGAGAAAUGAAGGUCUGGCAUUGUCUGUGGCAGACAACCUCAUGGUUAACGGCUGUCCCAGCAGGCCACUGGUCUUUAGAAACCCUGCUCUGCUCCCAACAGAGGCUGGGAGCUCUCCACCCCUGUCACCUUUGGGAAGGGGAGUCAGAUGGGGAAGUGGACCUCAGCUGUGUCAUGGAGGCAGGGUCAGAGCCAGGGUUGGCGUAAGAGCUCGGGGGCUGGCAGCCCUAUCUGGGGUCUCUGAUGAAGUCCCCUCCUUAGCGUCCUCAUCCUCCUCCUCUUCCCGGCAGCAGCUCAGAGCAAGUUCAUUCUCAUAACAAAACGCAGCGAGGGAGCCAGGAAAGCUUGACUUAGGGCUGUGGGAAGCCUGCUCGGCCCGCUCGUCCAGCUCCUUGGCACUGCAGACUGGUGUCCCUGGGACCUCGUAUGUUCGAUGGAAGUGGCGAUAAUCAACCUCAUACUGAGAGCCUCGCUGGAAGAGGACCGGCUCGAAGCGGUGGCCCCAGAGCAGCUCACCCGGGAGGUAAGAUGAGCGGCACUGGGUAGUCAUGGCUGUGGCCUCAACCAUACCCUCCAGAAUAACCACCAGCUCAAAGUCAGCCCGGGCCAGCUCCGCCCGCCCCAGCUCAUACAGCGGACUGGCGGAGUCGAUCUCGUGCACGAUGGUAAUGGGGGACACGAGGAAGAUGCGAUCAGUGCCUCCGUCAAAGCCAACGUCCACAUCCUGGUGGUCCAGCGGGAUGUACUCACCCUCUGGGGUCACGCGGGGCUGCGCAGAAGCGAGAGGACAGAGCCAGAGAGCUGUGUCACUACCUCACAGACCUCUGGAAGAAGUGUCCCUUGGGUCAUCUUGGUGUUUCAAAGGGCUAGGAGGAGCUCAAGUAUUAUGGAGAUUUGUUCUCUGUGACCCAGAGGCUUCUGGGAGCUGCACUUCCCACAAUCACUUACCCCUCUUCUGGCCUCAAGUGCUGUCUCCACUUUGCCAAUGCUAACUGCAGCUCAACAGUUUGUUUGGAACCCAGAUGCUUGAGCAAUGCAGCCCCCAAGUCCAGGAGUACCAAGGCUCCUGUAGCAGGGCCCGGAGGAGGCUGCUACCCCAGUGGCUGGUGAGAAUGGCUUCCGUGGCCUGUUUUCCAGCCGUGGUGCUGUACUCUGCUUUCCUUUCUCCUGGUAACCGCAGGCAGCGGCAAGGCCUCAGAGUGCCCCACACCCACUAAACUCCUCUCAGGCUGCUGCAUAGGGACCUCCCUGCUUUCCAGCUGCGGGGAGCUACCAGAAGGAGCGAUUGGGAGCAGGUGUGGUUGCCCUCUGUCUAGAGCACUCAGGAAACUCCUGUCAGGCAGCCUCCAGGCCAAGAAGCUCUCAGGUGUUCUACGCCCUCAAGCCCGGGUUUCCCGGAACUUGCCUCCUGGUCUACCUCUCCUGCAGGCCAACAGUUCUGCUCUUCAAGGUGCUGAAGAAGAUACACCUCGCUUCUUCCCACAUCCUGCAACGGGCCCUCCCUUAAACACAAGCACCCGCACCCCACAUCUGCGGUAGCUGAGCCUGCCUCCCCAGCCCCCAGCAGCCCCCUCACCUGCAGCAGCUGGGCCCGCACGUGAGCCUCCACCAGGUGGCUACGGCGCAGGUUGCCCACCCGCCACAUGAGGCAGAGCCGGCGGUCUCGCAGAGCCACCACUGCGUUUUCGCUGAAGACCAGUGUCUCGUUGCGUUUCUUGGGCUUGGCCAUCUUGGCCAUGACUGCACCCACGACGAAGGCGUCGAGCACACAGCCUGCGAUGCACUGCAGCACCACGGCGGCCACAGCAGCCGGACACUCCUCAGUGACGCUCCGCACACCGUAGCCUAUGGACGUCUGUGUCUCCAGCGCGAAGAGGAAGGCAGCCAAGAAGCUGGCCACCUGCGAGAAGCAGGGUGCCGGUGGCGGCGGGGCGGCCAGGUCGCCGUGCAGUGAGGCGAUGAGCCAGAAGGUCAGGCCGAAGAGGAGCCAGGAGGCGAGGAAGGAACAGGAGAAGAGCAGGCACAUCCAGCGCCAGCGCACGUCCACACACGUGGUGAACAGGUCACUCAGGUAGCGCGCGCCCUGGCCGCCCAGAUUCACGAAGCGCACGUUGCAGUGCCCAUCUUUUUUGACGAAGCGCCCGCGGCGCCGGCUCCCAGCCACAGGCCCGGGCGCCCACCCAUUGCGGCACAGCCCGGCCCCCGCCUCCUCCUCAUCGCCAGCUCGGCUGUCUCCUGACUCCAGCGCGCCGCUCAGGCGGCGCAGGGCCCUGGCCAGGCCCAUUGAGCGGGGAGACCCCCCUCUACUUGGCCUAGCGGGGGGCGGGCGCCCCAAACCUGUAGGAACAAAACAUGGGCCAGAGCGUCAGGGGUAUCAGGAACCAGGGUCCACCGGCCAUGACACAUAAGGACGAGCUAUAUGAAACUUGUGUAUAGCUGCAACUGACGUGUAAUGCUGUUAUGAAAAACGCCAACUUGGUGGCUUAGACUGCUGUGAGUACUGUA